rnacentral:rRNA from 1 species
UACGGAGGGUGCAAGCGUUAUCCGGAAUUAUUGGGCGUAAAGGGUCCGUAGGUGGUUGAGUAAGUCUGCUGUUAAAGCGUGGAGCUUAACUCCAUAUCGGCAGUGGAUACUACUUGACUUGAGUGCGGUAGGGGAAAGGAGAAUUCCCAGUGUAGCGGUGAAAUGCGUAGAUAUUGGGAAGAACACCGGUGGCGAAAGCGCCUGACUGGGCCUGUACUGACACUGAGGGUCGAAAGCUAGGGGAGCAAACGGG